rnacentral:rRNA from 1 species
CCUACGGGUGGCUGCAGUGGGGAAUAUUGGACAAUGGGGGCAACCCUGAUCCAGCCAUGCCGCGUGUGUGAAGAAGGCCCUCGGGUUGUAAAGCACUUUCAGUGAGGAAGAACGCCUGGUGGUUAAUACCCAUCAGGAAAGACAUCACUCACAGAAGAAGCACCGGCUAACUCCGUGCCAGCAGCCGCGGUAAUACGGAGGGUGCGAGCGUUAAUCGGAAUUACUGGGCGUAAAGCGCGCGUAGGUGGCUUGAUAAGCCGGUUGUGAAAGCCCCGGGCUCAACCUGGGAACGGCAUCCGGAACUGUCAAGCUAGAGUGCAGGAGAGGAAUGUAGAAUUCCCGGUGUAGCGGUGAAAUUCGUAGAGAUCGGGAGGAAUACCAGUGGCGAAGGCGGCCUUCUGGACUGACACUGACACUGAGGUGCGAAAGCGUGGGUAGCAAACAGGAUUAGAUACCCUUGUAGUC